rnacentral:rRNA from 1 species
CCUACGGGAGGCAGCAGUGAGGAAUAUUGGUCAAUGGGCGCGAGCCUGAACCAGCCAAGCAGCGUGAAGGAUGACUGCCCUACGGGUUUUAACCUUCUUUUAUAAAGGAAUAAAGUGAGGCACGUGUGCCUUUUUGUCUGUACUUUAUGAAUACGGAUCGGCUAACUCCGUGCCAGCAGCCGCGGUAAUACGGAGGGUCCGAGCGUUAUCCGGAUUUAUUGGGUUUAAAGGGAGCGUAGAUGGGUUGUUAAGUCAGUUGGGAAAGUUUGCGGCUCAACCGUAAAAUUGCAAUUGAUACUGGCAGUCUUGAGUACAGUUGAGGUAGGCGGAAUUCGUGGUGUAGCGGUGAAAUGCGUAGAUAUCACGAAGAACACCGAUUGCGAAGGCAGCUUACUAGACUGCCACUGACAUUGAUGCGCGAAAGUGUGGGGAUCAAACAGGAUUAGAUACCCCUGUAGUC